GGGAUGGUGGUGGAAUUGGUAGACACGCUAGCUUGAGGUGCUAGUUCCGUAAGGUAGUGAGGGUUCGAGUCCCUUCUGUCCCA
rnacentral:tRNA from 4 species